GACGAACGCUGGCGGCGUGCCUAAUACAUGCAAGUAGGCCGCAGUUGCGAACGGGUGAGUAACGCGUAGGUAACUACCUAUUAGAGGGGAAUAACUAUUGGAAACGAUAACUACUAACGCCUAAUAGUAGAUGGACCUGCGUUGUAUUAGCUAGUCGGUAGGAGAAAGGCCUACCUAGGCAACGCUACCUAGCCGACCUGAGAGGGUGAUCGGCCACACUGGGACUGAGAAACGGCCCAGACUCCUACGGGAGGCAGCAGUAGGGAAUCUGCGGCAAUGGGGGGAACCCUGAACGAGCAACGCCGCGUGAGUGAAGAAGGUUUUCGGAUCGUAAAGCUCUGUUGUUAAGGAAGCGGUACUUAACCAGAAAGGGACGGCUAACUACGUGCCAGCCGCCGCGGUAAUAC
rnacentral:rRNA from 1 species